AUUGAACGCUGGCGGCGUGCUUAACACAUGCAAGUCGAUCGGUAACGCGGGGGCAACCCUGGCGACGAGAGGCGGACGGGUGAGGAACGCUUGGGAAUCUGCCUAUCAGCGGGGGACAACACGGGGAAACUCGUGCUAAUACCGCAUACGACCUUAGGGUGAAAGCGGAGGACCUUCGGGCUUCGCGCGGAUAGAUGAGCCGAUGUCGGAUUAGCUAGUUGGCGGGGUAAAGGCCCACCAAGGCGACGAUCCGUAGCUGGUCUGAGAGGAUGAUCAGACACACGGGAACGGAGACACGGUCCAGACUCCUACGGGAGGCAGCGGUGGGGAAUAUUGGACAAUGGGCGCAAGCCUGAUCCAGCAAUGCCGCGUGGGUGAAGAAGGCCUUCGGGUUGUAAAGCCCUUUUGUUGGGAAAGAAAAGCAGUCGGUUAAUACCCGAUUGUUCUGACGGUACCCAAAGAAUAAGCACCGGCUAACUUCGUGCCAGCAGCCGCCGUAACAC
rnacentral:rRNA from 1 species